AAGAUACUAGUAAAACUAUUACCAUGCCUUGUCAAGACAUAAUUGUAGGUUAAACCCCUGCGUAUCUUA
rnacentral:tRNA from 1 species